rnacentral:rRNA from 1 species
AAAAUGACUCUCGGCAACGGAUAUCUCGGCUCUCGCAUCGAUGAAGAACGUAGCGAAAUGCGAUACCUGGUGUGAAUUGCAGAAUCCCGUGAACCAUCGAGUCUUUGAACGCAAGUUGCGCCCGAAGCCUUCUGGCCGAGGGCACGCCUGCCUGGGUGUCAUGC